UACGGAGGAUGCAAGCGUUGUUCGGAUUCACUGGGCGUAAAGGGUGCGCAGGUGGGUUUGCAAGUUCGAUGUGAAAGCCCCGGGCUUAACCCGGGAAUGGCAUUGGAUACUGCAGAUCUGGAGGAUCGGAGGGGGGACUGGAAUUCUUGGUGUAGCAGUGAAAUGCGUAGAUAUCAAGAGGAACACCAGUGGCGAAGGCGAGUCCCUGGACGAUACCUGACACUGAGGCACGAAAGCUAGGGGAGCAAACAGG
rnacentral:rRNA from 1 species